GCAGGGCCAGAUAGCUCAGUUGGUAGAGCGUCCGACUGAAAAUCGGAAGGUCGGCGGUUCGACCCCGCCUCUGCUGCG
rnacentral:tRNA from 1 species